rnacentral:rRNA from 1 species
GACGGAGGGUGCAAGCGUUGUUCGGAAUUACUGGGCGUAAAGCGUACGUAGGCGGCGGGUUAAGUCGAAUGUUAAAGCCUGGGGCUCAACCCCCAGAGAUGCACUCGAUACUGGCUUGCUAGAGGGUGAUAGAGGAAAGCGGAAUUCCCAGUGUAGCGGUGAAAUGCGUAGAUAUUGGGGAGGAACAUCAGUAGCGAAGGCGCUUUCUGGGUCACACCUGACGCUGAGGUACGAAAGCGUGGGGAGCAAACGGGG